ACGGUUCUGCCUGCCUCAACGCCCGCGCUCCUCACCAACGCCGCAAUCAUCGCCCACGCGCGGAUCCCCCACGAUCCUCCCCACCACCGCCGCCACAAUCAUCGCUCACGCGCGGAUCCCCCAUGAUCCUCCCUACCGUCGCCGCAAUCAACGCCCACGCGGAUCCUCCCCACGAUCCCCACCCCGCACACCCCCACCCUUCCAUCGCCGGCCGGAAUCGAUCGAUCCAAAGCUCCCUUUAGAGCUCGAGCUCUAUCCAACCCACGAACGGGAUCCCGAUGCCCAUGGCGGCCUCGGUUCGUCUCGCCGCACCGGCUGCCUCGCCCCCGCUGACGUGGUGGAGGUGGGCUCCUCUUCUCGCCGCGUCACAUCCACGGGCGAACCCGCCGCCUCCCGCACCGCGCCUGCGGGCGCCCGCUCUCUUCUCCGGGCCUCCCCUGUUCCCCGCGAUUCCAGCGCCGGAGCCAUCGUCCGGAGGACACCGUGUGCGGCGGCGGCAAUAGGUGGAGGUGUGGAGGCGGAGUCCACGGAGCGGGAGGCGCCCGAUCGGGAUACUCUGAAGCGGGUGGCGCUGCUCGCGCUUGGCUGCUGCACUGCAGCCGCCGCUCUCGGCGUGGCGCGGGCAGCGGCGGGGGACUCCAUCAAGGCGUCAGGAUUCAGGCUAUGGGUGGCGGAGUCGCUGCGGAGGCUCGGAUGGCCCGAUGACACCGUCGUGUUCGCGCUCGCAACGCUGCCGGUGAUCGAGCUGCGGGGGGCGAUCCCGUUGGGUAUUGGCUGUGGGGCCCAUCCCCACUGCCCCUCUGUCGCAAACCCCGCGCACGCCGCCUCCACUGCACACCCCCGCCUUCCAUCAUCGGGCCUCUGCCGCAAACCCCGCACACGUCGCCUCCACCGCACACCUCGCCCUUCCAUCGUCGCCACCGCGCACUCACCCUCCACACCAUCCUCGCCCCAAAUCGCUCAGCCUAAGCAUAGAUGGAAGUCCCCCCGCAUCCGCUCCCGCGCAUCCCGACAUCAGUGGAUUGCGGCAGAGGCCCUUCGUGCACGAUCUGUUUCCCCCUCCACGCAUGGCGGUUCCGCCUCCACCUACCGUCGCCCCAUCCACUCAAGGCCAAUUGCAUCCAAAUGUCACGCAGGCCGCACGUCAUCCUCAUCCUUGUGGCGUCAACAACCAUGUGCGGCAAGCAGCGGAUGCGGUAGAUGAUUGUUUGCGUCCCAUAUAGCUCAAUAUAUGCCUGCCCCCGAUGCCAUCUACAUGCCUAGAGGCGACGGUCGGACGGGCCAAGUAGGAGCCAAAAAGAAGCAAGCCCCGUCGCCGUCAUGGAAGGAGGAGGCCAUCCCACCCACGCUGACGAGGAGCCACCAAUAGCAGGUGCCACCACCACCCAAGGAGAAAGCCGCCCAAGGAGACCUUUCAUUUCAGAUUGGAGAUGACUCGGCAUGUUUCCAUGAUUUCAAUUACACUGUCCCCUAGAGAGCUGGACAAGCACACUCCUGGGUACCAAGCUCCAGUGUAUGUUGAACAACCAAGGCAACAGCAGGUGCCACCACCACAGCGCCAACCACGCAGACCACCAGCACAAUUCCAGCAGCUAGAGUACGAAGAUUCUUAUGCACGGGGUCGAGGAAGAGGGCGUGGGCGUGGAAGGGGCUGGGGUAGAGGUGGCUACGGUGGCUAUGGUGGAUAUGGAAACAACCAAGGUGGCUAUCAUCAGGGUGGUGGGUAUUAUGACAAUCAAGGUGGUUAUAAUGGCUAUGAUAAUCAAGGUGGAUAUAGUGGCUAUGAUAAUCAAAGUGGAUAUGGUGGUGGAUAUGGCUAUAAACAAGGCAGAUAUGGGAACUAUCAAGAAAAUGGUGGAUAUAACCGAGACCCAGGAAGUGGUAUGCGAGGAAGAUGCAAUUGGGGUUACCAAGGAGCGCGAACCCCUUGGUGGCCGCCUCCAGCUGCGCGAAUGUGAACUCUCCAGGGGGUCCUUGAACGAUGACGGUCCGCUCCGCUUCCGCGUCAUCACACGCGACAGCUGCCACCGGAAUAGGAUGCGCGCCCGCGACCCGUACGGUUUGUGACUUCAAAAAUAACAGCAAGAAGCCUCGAAGACAUUCUUUUGGAUAAAGUUAGGAAAGUACCAUGCAUCCCACUUUCAGAUGGUUCAUUUACCUCUAUUUCAGAUGGUCGUAUAUGGUUGCCAUAUGAUGUUGCCAAUUCCAUUCCUGAAUGCAGUAGCAUUCCGAAUUUUCCAGCUCUAUAUGGUAAUCUUCGAACUGUAAGUCCAAACCUUCUCUCUGCAUGCUGCAAAAAUAAAUAUCUCAUGGAGGAAGUCAGAAUAAAUGAUCUGGCAGACAUGCUCCAAAGGAUCGGGGUGCGGAAGUUGUCUGGGCAUGACAUUGUUAAAAAUCACAUCAUGGUGUCCUUGCGUAACGGUUUAGAUGCUAAUGUGGCUGAUAUAGUGAUUAGAGAGUAUGUGAGCUUUAUUAUGGUUCAUCUUCAGUCUUCUUGCACCAGCUGUAACUUUGAAAGAGGAGAGAUAGUGUCAGAACUACGGAAGAGUCCUAUAUUCCUUACAAACCAUGGAUACAAGAGCCCAGCUGAUGAACCAAUUCACUUCAGUAAAGAUUAUGGAAAUUCCGUGGAUGCUACUAGACUCUUCAGAAUGUAGAAAUAAGUUGGAUUGAACUUGAUAGUACCUAUUUGCAGCAUCAUGGUUCACAGUCGUCAUCAUUUGCACUGGAAAAAUGGAGGCAAUUUUUUGAAGAAAUGGGUGUGACUGAUUUUGUGCAGGUAGUGAAAGUUGAAAAAACUUUAUCCCAAGUUGAUUCUAUUCUAGCAGGAGGACUUUCUCUAGCUGAUGUAUCUACAAAACAAUGUACAGUGUAUGACUGGGAGUCACCAGAAUUAUCUAGAAUUUUAUCAAUAUUUUCUUCAAAAAGAUGCAAGGAAAAAUGUGUAUAUCUUCUGGAAGUUCUUGAUAGAUUCUGGGAUGAUCAUUAUAGGGCAAAAUCUAGGAUCUUCACAGAUGCUACACAUUGUGGUGAAAACAGAGCAGUUGAAUCAUCAUUUAUGAAGUGCAUUCAAAGCUUCAAAUGGAUAGCAUCAAGAAUGGAUGAGGAUCUUCAUUAUGCAACAGAUUUAUUCUAUGAUUGUGAAAAUGUCCGCUCUCUUUUUGGUAGUGUGGCUCCAUAUGUUGUAUCGCAGGUAUCUAGCAGUUCACUUAAGAAGGCCAUUGGAUUCAAAACAGAGGUAUCUUACUGUGAUGCAUUGAUGGUCCUGAAGUCUUGGAUAACGUCAAAGGUUCCCUUUAGAGCAAGUAUGAGCCAGAUGUGGAAAUUCUAUACCUUAUUGUCUGAAGGCGUGGCAGACGCAAAGAUUGACAUUAAACGGGAGUUCAUGUCGUCUCCCUCUAUAUUUACACCACUACAGCGUCCUCGGGCAAUUUAAAGACAUCCCAUCUAUUGGACGCUCCAUCACUAGCUGCAAUAGACAAAACUUAGAGGAGCCAUUUCCACUAUUUCAUCUAUUAAAACAAGUAAGAAAAUAGAAAGGCUUGGAAGCAAUGGUGUUCCACCCAGAACAAGCCGACUCAAGCGACUUUUUGUCUACUCUUUGCAAAACAGUGAGGCAACGAGUCAGGAAGCGCACCAUGGUCGGAUGAACGAAGAAGAAAAAUCUGUUGCAUGGAAUGGAUGUAUGUUAUUAGAUUAAAAUAACAAAAUUUAUGUAUGGAUAGAAUCACAAAUGAAUUCUGAAACAUUUUCUCAUAACAGUAUAACGCACACAUGUACAUAAGUUAUCGUGUUGUUAUACGGUUCCGUUGCAACGUACGGGCACUCACCUAGUCAUAUAAUAGAGAAUAAUCUCCACCUUGGAUUUUU